rnacentral:piRNA from 1 species
UUCCACGAAUUCAACAUUUUGUUGGGGUAA